AUGUAUCCGGACACCAUGCACCGGUGGUGCAAGUGGCACACACCGAAGAAGGCGAAGGAGAGCCUAGGUCCUUUGUACACGAAGAAGAACGAGGUCAGAUCUGAGUUCUACAAAGUUGUGAACCACAUGCUGUUGAUCGGUGAGUUUGAGGCUUAUUCCUCCAGAGUGGCUUAUGAGGUGACAAUCAAGGACAGUUCGAGCAUACGGGAAUGCUUUGCUGCCAUGUCUGACGGGUUGAUGUCCUUCACUCGAGGAGAUACCGGAGAAACACAUUGUGAAGAUGCGGACAAAGGAUGCGAGGUGCCGGCAUUUGACUCUGUAUGUGCAUGCUAUGGAGGAUGCAACUGCUGA
rnacentral:rRNA from 1 species